rnacentral:rRNA from 2 species
GACGAACGCUGGCGGCGUGCCUAACACAUGCAAGUCGAGCGAGGUUGCGGAUGGGUGCUUGCACCCUGAAGCUACCUAGCGGCGGACGGGUGAGUAACGCGUGAGUAACCUGCCUUAUACAGGGGGAUAACAACGAGAAAUCGUUGCUAAUACCGCAUAAGACCACGGUAUCGCAUGGUACAGGGGUAAAAGGAGCAAUCCGGUAUAAGAUGGACUCGCGUCCCAUUAGCUAGUUGGUGAGAUAACAGCCCACCAAGGCAACGAUGGGUAGCCGACCUGAGAGGGUGAUCGGCCACACUGGGACUGAGACACGGCCCAGACUCCUACGGGAGGCAGCAGUGGGGAAUAUUGGGCAAUGGGCGAAAGCCUGACCCAGCAACGCCGCGUGAAGGAAGAAGGUCUUCGGAUUGUAAACUUCUGUCGUCAGGGACGAAAAAGGACGGUACCUGGCAAGAAAGCCCCGGCUAACUACGUG